AAACAAUGGGAAAAAAAAAUAAGAUUCUCUGAUUGGGUGCGACCAAAUCAGUGUAGCAGCAUGCAUUAAAUUAAACUAUUGUUCAGAUGUUAUACAAUAUUAUUGUAUAUUUGUAUGUACCAUUUAAUACCAUUUAAUAUUUACCAUUUUAAAAUCUAUUUCCAUUUAAUAAAGAUCGUAAAUCGUAAUUGAUUAGGUAAUUAAUUAAUUAAUUAAUUUAAAUUAAUGAUUAAUGACAAGAUCCAUCUAUUUCAUUAUGAUAAAUGAUUAAUUGAUCUUGAUCAGCAAGUUAAUGCGUAAUGACAUGAAUCUGUUAAGGGCAAUAAUUAUUAUUGUUUAUUAUUUUAUUAGUUAACACAAGCUUUUCACAAUGAUGAUGAUGAAAUUAUACUUCACAUAAUAAAAAUAUUUAUUUUAAUAUUUGGACAUUGAUAUUUAAACAUAAAUGGAACAAAUGUAGUAUUGUACAAUUCAAUUAGUAAUUAGCUCAUAUUAAAAAAAAAGAUACUAAAUGUCUGUUUAAAAAUUUAAUUGAAGCAUAAAUUCUAAAACGCAAAAAAAAAUUGAGUAGAUAAUUUUUGUCAAAGUUGGGACAUGGAUGUUCAUAAUCAAUAUUGAGCAUUCUCAUUUUAAGUUUGUCGCCUAUUCCUAC